rnacentral:lncRNA from 1 species
GCCUGCAGACAGGGCAGCCACACCCAGGGCAGCUGGCACCCCGGUGGUGUUUCUGCUCAGAGCUGCUGGGCCGGCAGCCUGCCAGGCCACGGCUGGGCACCGAUGAGGAGCCAGGACGCUAAGAAACCUGCUGAGUGGCAGAACUUGCCGUCUGCGUUGCCCCAUCUCCAUGCCAGGGCCUCCUUCGGACAGCCCGGCCCAGGUGCCUUCUUGGCAGGCCAGUAACAAGCAGUGGGCCUGGCAUCUCCCAGAUCUGUGCUCUGUGGGGCUCUGGGCUUCAGGCUGCUCCCACCGGCUGGGCCUAAGCAGGGAGCCAAGACGGUCAGGUGUGACCCCCUCUGGCUGGCAGGGCUGCUGCUCCAUCUCCGCCUGUCAGAUCCCAUCCUGGCCCAGGUCUAAUGCUCCCUCCUCCUGCACAGGCCCCCAGAUGCCCUGAGCUCCCCCAACCCUUAGGGUAAUUGUUCCUCUCUGCCACUUAGCACAUGGCGCUUCCCCCGGUGCACGGUGAGCUCUUGGCCUCACCUGCAGGCUUGCUCCAGGGCCCCGGGUAGCGCACUGACUGGGUGACUGCUCAUCCUGUCCAUCGACAUUCCAUCUGCAUGUUCUCUGACAACAUCCCUGAGACCAGACGCCCCCUUCGGCAUCUUUCUUCUCCCACCUCCCCCCACCCGCUUUUCAGGCCCUACCAUCACGCCAGAGGCCUCCACUUCAGGCCCUACUGGGCUGGGGCUGGACCUGGGCCCAUUUUGACAAAGAGGCUCAAGGAAUUGGGGGUUUCCAUGGCACCUUGACCCUCCAGCCAUCCCCUGUCUUGGCUGUCCACUGGCCGUGGCAGCUGCUGAGGGAGCAGGGCGGACAGGCCUGGGUCCUGGAGCGCUGGGGGAAACUGCUGACUUCCCUCCUUUCCAGCGGGGCCUCCAAACCCACUUUGCAUCUGCUAGUCCUGGCCCUUGGCAGCCCCUCCUGCUCCAAGGAAGACCCAGGUGGCCUCUAUCUUAGAUUCUGUCCCCCACCCCACUGUCUUGGAAACUGGUCAGCCAAGCAGGAAUCACUGGCAUUUGGCAGCAAGAAGGGUCAGCUCAGGACGCCCCCCGGCAACUUCUGAACCUCAGCAUAAGCCAGAGAUGCCUGCUGCACCGCUCUCAGCUCCAGCCCAGCUCCGGAACGCAGGCUGCGGUGAGGAGGGCGCUGGGCAGCGGGGCCACGGGACAGCAGACAGAAUCUGGAGGCCUCUUAGGAACCAGGGAACUCUGGAGACCCCAGAACUGUGGAAGGCAGGGCUGUGGUCCAGGACAAAGGGCUCUGCUCUUAGUGCUGUGAAGGGAAGUCGUGCCACGACCCUCGGAAGAGUGGGUGCCCUUUGGAUGGCUUGCUGGCGUGGGUGAUGCCUGCCUCCACUUCCUCCUUUGUGUGCGUAGAGGCAGGACAACGUUUCACAUCGACGUCGUUCUUUACAGUCUGCCAAGUAGUCUCCUGUCCUUUAUCUCUUGGGUUGUGCCCAUCAAUUCCCCGAGGGAAGUGCUCGCCCCGUUAUGACCCCUAUUGUAAGGACGGGGAGACUGAGGCUCAGAGAGGCUGUGUGACUUGCCCAAAGUCACCGCUGGUUAGUGGCAGAGCUGUCUCAGAGUUUCAUCCUACAAAUCCGAGUCAGGUGCUUCUCCUCCACACCACGUGCACACAAGACAUGUCUGGGGUGGAGAGAUGCUGGAAUGCACGGUCUUCGGGGUAUGCUGUGGCAGGGUGAAUGGUGGCCUCCCCCAAAAGAGGAGACAGACAGGGGCAGAUUGGGGACACAGAAGACAAGGCCAUGUGAAGAUGGAGGGAGAGACGAUAGAGAUGCUGCCUCCAGCCCAGGAUGCUGGGAGCUGGAACGAGCAUGGGAUGGAUUCUCUCGCAGAGCCUCCGGAAGGAACCGCCUUGAUUCUGGAUCUCUGGCCUCCGGAACUGUGAGAGCAUAACUUUGUGUGGUUAAGACACCGAGUUCGUGGUCAUUUGUGUGGCCACCCUGGGAAACAGAGACUGUGACUCCAAAACUCUCCCAGUCACCUGGUAUGAGCUGUCAGCUGCUCAAUGAACCCACUUAGCAC